rnacentral:lncRNA from 1 species
UUGCAAGGUGAGGUUGGACAGGAAGGGCCCGCAGGCUGUACCAUUAUACUUUUGGAGUCUCUCUCCUCUGCCUGCUCAGCCUUUGUCCUUGCGGUUCCUGGAGGCCAGCCUAACGCACACUAGCUUCCCUGGCCUUGCUUUCCUCUCACAGGCUUCUGCUCCAUCCCUACCUCCCAACAUCUUUUGUCUUAGAGAUCCCACAACGCCGUCAAGGAAUGUUAGGGUGAGCCCCACUCCUUCCUUUUGGAUGGAGACAGAGCACCACUCCUUCCUACAGAUGGAGACAGAGCUUGCUCUUAGGAACAGCCAGAGUAAGAUUAGAACCCCAUCCCUGGACUUACAGUCCAACGCUGUUUACAUUAAAGCAGUGGGUGUUCCCAGGAAUCCUGGCUCAGCAGCUACCCUCUAAAAGAGGGUUGCCAGACCAAAUGGGUUUGUCAUUUGUCAAAGGUGCUGUCUCCCCUUCUUGGAGAUUCACGAUGCUCAUUAGCAUAUCAAAGGCUCUGAGAAGUCCCGCUGUAAAAGAAGCCCAAGAAAUUUAGUCUCCAGCGUUAACUGCUUCUGGACCCGGACCAGUUUUUCCCACCUUGAGGUUCCCAGCAGCCCUGUGCUGUCAUUCAUUCCUAAGGGGCCCAACUCCUUGGCUACAGUCCGUGUGAAGAUUUGGGAGCUCUCUCUUUCCCAGGGAAUUUCUCUAGCAGAGGAAGAAGACAGCUGCCCCUGCCAGGCCCGCGAGAGGCCUGGGAACUGGCGGAUUUGAACAUUCCUUCACGUUGUUUGGGAAAGGAAGCCAAGGUUACCCGGAUGGCUUCCCAGUCAAAAGAAACAGCACCUGUAAGAGAUCCUGGCAUUGACCGUGAGCAGGGGUCACGCUCACCAAAGAGAAGACAACUCUGGCGCUGGGGUGAGCAGCUGGCCCAGCGUCUGUCAGGUGUCCGUGUUGCUGAGGCCAGGCAGAUUCCUGGAGCCGGUCAUGCCCACCUCUCCCAGGGCCUGCUUCCCUGGGCGGGCAACACCAUUCUGGCCUGGGCCAGCUGAGAGUUUCAGAGUGGGGAGAGGGAACGGCCUCUGCCCAGCAGGUUCUGUUCAACACCAUCCAAUGGAAGAGCCAAGAUGGAUCACUAUCUAUGCUGCAUGCUCAGCUCAGAUCCAGCCCCCCAAGGACCUCUUCUUUGCCCCUCCACCCAUGGUGCUCUGUCUGUGGUCAGUUGACUUUACUCAGGAGCAGACAGUUCCUUGCCCUUCAUGGUACCCUAUCCAUCCAGAUGUGCCUGAAACAUUCCAGGGCUCACUGGCUCUUCUAGAUGUGCCUUCCCACUUGGCCUCCAGCUGCUUCUCCAGAUGUGAGGAGGAUGUGUAA